ensembl:lncRNA
UUAAUUUACACAUGCAUGGUUAUGAAUUUGAUAUAUAAUAAUGUAUAAGAUGUGUUUUCUACAUUAAAUACACAUAAACCAGGUGUCCAGCCAUGAAUGCUACAGCCAGCGUGGAGGCCACCAUGAUGUUCUGGGAUGACUCCCAUGAGGUGAUAAUGCUGUACAACACCAGCUGCCUGGCCUCACUGCUUCUGAACUGAAGCCCCUGGAGGACUGCUUGUCUGAUGGCCGCAUGAGCAACAUAAAGCCAGGGCGGGCAGAAAUACUUUUUCCUAAGUUUCAACUUAGGAAAUCCUGCAGUUUAGAAAGCCUCCUGAGGAAGGCUGGGGUAUAUGAUCCAUUUUCUCACAAUCAGCCAACUCAUAAAGGCGCCUCAUACGUUUGUGCUGGAGGUGGAAAAGUUCAAGUCAGAGGAAGGACAGACCGUGUGCUCAUCUCUGUGAUGAAUUAACAGGCCUCGUCCUGCUAAUUGAGAGAAUGAAUUGAUCCCACCGAUGUCCAGAGGUACAGUGAGCGUUGCACUCAUAUAAUACUACAUCUACUUAUAAAACUCUAUAGCUUUAGUUUGAAUACGUCCCAGUGGUCCAGCACAUUUUGCAAAAAAAAAUCCAUUUUCAGCAAUUUCCAUGAAGUCAGAGAAGGUGUUUUGUUUUUCAAACAUUACCAGAUGAUAUAUAGUUUAUUUCUCAUUUUCACAAAAUGAUGAAAAGACAUUUAAAUGGCAGCAAUUUAUCCUUGUGACUGAGUCUAUGUCUAUGCUUGCAAAAACAUAAAGCACUUUUCUUCCAUUACAAAAGCAUUUUCUCUUUCUUUUUCACUCUGAAACCCAUUUCCUCUUGUAACAUCUCUUUAUCAUCUUAUGCAAUUAUUGGAAAUUGCUUUGCAAGAGCAUCUGGGCUUAUAUAGCAACAACAGAAAGAAAAUGCCCAGUUACAUUUUCACUCUGGGAUUUAGUGGCUCUGGGACAUUAGCUCAUUUCUACCUUUAGUCAGACAACCUUGUUGGAGAUGCUGUGAUGGUAUUUAGCUCAUUGGGGAG